CGUAUCACCCAAGACAACUUUACGGAGUUGACGAUUGACGGAGCGAAGCGACGUCAAAGCGUUCAUUAAAGUCGAGUUGGCUUAGGGAUACGUUCGUUGGGUAGGGGAGCGUUCUGUAAGCCUGUGAAGGUGUGUCGUGAGGCAUGCUGGAGGUAUCAGAAGUGCGAAUGCUGACAUAAGUAACGAUAAAGCGGGUGAAAAGCCCGCUCGCCGGAAGACCAAGGGUUCCUGUCCAACGUUAAUCGGGGCAGGGUGAGUCGACCCCUAAGGCGAGGCCGAAAGGCGUAGUCGAUGGGAAACGGGUUAAUAUUCCCGUACUUGGUGUUACUGCGAAGGGGGGACGGAGAAGGCUAUGUUGGCCGGGCGACGGUUGUCCCGGUUUAAGCGUGUAGGUGUGUGUUCCAGGUAAAUCCGGUUCACUUUAACACUGAGGCGUGACGACGAGGCACUACGGUGCUGAAGCAACAAAUGCCCUGCUUCCAGGAAAAGCCUCUAAGCAUCAGGUAACACGAAAUCGUACCCCA
rnacentral:rRNA from 1 species